UAGCACCAGGAGACAGUGGAAUACUUCAGGACAUUGUGAAGAUUUCAGGCAACUUCCUGACAACUUCCAGCCCAGAACAGGACCCAGAACUCCAGGUUUGGACACAACAGCAUUGAGUAAAGGGGCAGGAUCACCUUCCUUGACCUGCUGGCAACUCUCUUCCCAAUGAAGCCCAGAAGGUCCUCAAGCUGCUUUUCAGCUGGUUGACCCCAGCUUUUACAGGUGGAGAUCAACAGCUCUUGAGUCAAGAAGAGCUGAUCCUUGAAAUCAGUCUGCCCUCCUGAACUCCUCCUCUCUUCUGCAAGAGGGUGUCACAUGGGAUUCUUCCAAGCAGUUCCCAUUGUUUGCUUUCCUGAUGUCCAGGGUUAUUAAAUUGCUAUCUUCUCUCAGGAUCCUGAGUUCCAUCUGCUCCUGGCAUUCACACUCAGGGGUCUAUGCUGGGGCCAGUUCUGUUCAAUAUUUUUACUGGUGACAUGGAUGAGGGUGUUGAGUCUAUCAUCAGUAAAUUUGCAGAUGAUACUAA